rnacentral:tmRNA from 1 species
GGGGGCGAAAUGGCUUCGACGGGGAUAAAGAAGCUUCGGCUGCAUACCGAGCUUCCUGCCAGCUCGUAAAACCGGUGGGAACCUAAAAUAAUCGCAGACGAUUAUGAAUACGCUUUAGCCGCUUGAGGCUAACGCUCUGCCGGAUUUUCCCUGCAAAUCCUGUGAGAGCGUCGACUAGCAGGGUAACCGGCUCUUAUUUCCUGAUACCGGGUCGGU